UACGUAGGCAGCAAGCGUUGUUCGGAAUUACUGGGCGUAAAGAGUGUGUAGGCGGUGCUCUAAGUUCGGUGUGAAAUCUCCCGGCUUAACUGGGAGGGUGCGCCGGAAACUGGAGUGCUCGAGCGUGGGAGAGGAAAGCGGAAUUCCUGGUGUAGCGGUGAAAUGCGUAGAUAUCAGGAGGAACACCGAUGGCGAAGGCAGCUCGCUGGGACGUUACUGACACUGAGGCGCGAAAGCGUGGGGAGCGAACAGG
rnacentral:rRNA from 1 species